rnacentral:rRNA from 1 species
AGCGAACGCUGGCGGCAGGCUUAACACAUGCAAGUCGAGCGGGCAUAGCAAUAUGUCAGCGGCAGACGGGUGAGUAACGCGUGGGAACGUACCUUUUGGUUCGGAACAACUGAGGGAAACUUCAGCUAAUACCGGAUAAGCCCUUACGGGGAAAGAUUCAUCGCCGAAAGAUCGGCCCGCGUCUGAUUAGCUAGUUGGUGAGGUAAUGGCUCACCAAGGCGACGAUCAGUAGCUGGUCUGAGAGGAUGAUCAGCCACAUUGGGACUGAGACACGGCCCAAACUCCUACGGGAGGCAGCAGUGGGGAAUAUUGGACAAUGGGCGCAAGCCUGAUCCAGCCAUGCCGCGUGAGUGAUGAAGGCCCUAGGGUUGUAAAGCUCUUUUGUGCGGGAAGAUAAUGACGGUACCGCAAGAAUAAGCCCCGGCUAACUUCGUGCCAGCCGCUGCUGUAA